rnacentral:rRNA from 1 species
CUCGUAGGCGGCCAACUAAGUCAGACGUGAAAUCCCUCGGCUUAACCGGGAACUGCGUCUGAUACUGGAUGGCUUGAGGUUGGGAGAGGGAUGCGGAAUUCCAGGUGUAGCGGUGAAAUGCGUAGAUAUCUGGAGGAACACCGGUGGCGAAGGCGGCAUCCUGGACCAAAUCUGACGCUGAGGAGCGAAAGCCAGGGAGCAAACG